rnacentral:rRNA from 1 species
AUUAGUUGCCAUCAGGUAAUGCUGGGAACUCUAAUGGGACUGCCGGUGAUAAACCGGAGGAAGGUGGGGAUGACGUCAAGUCCUCAUGGCCUUUAUAUCCAGGGCUACACACGUGCUACAAUGGCCGGUACAAAGAGUCGCGAGACCGCGAGGUGGAGCUAAUCUCAUAAAACCGGUCUCAGUUCGGAUUGGAGUCUGCAACUCGACUCCAUGAAGUUGGAAUCGCUAGUAAUCGUAGAUCAGCAUGCUACGGUGAAUACGUUCCCGGGCCUUGUACACACCGCCCGUCACACCAUGAAAGCCGAUUGUACUAGAAGUCAUGAUGCCAACCUUCGGGAGGCUAAUGCCUAAAGUAUGCUUGGUGAUCGGGGUGAAGUCGUAACAAGGUAGCCGUAGGGGAACCUGCGGCUGGAUCACCUCCUUUCUAA